UAGGGAAUCUUCGGCAAUGGGGGCAACCCUGACCGAGCAACGCCGCGUGAGUGAAGAAGGUCUUCGGAUCGUAAAGCUCUGUUGUAANUCAAGANCGAGUGUGAGAGUGGAAAGUUCACACUGUGACGGUAGCUUNCCAGAAAGGGACGGCUAACUACGUGCCAGCAGCCGCGGUAAUACGUAGGUUCCGAGCGUUGUCCGGAUUUAUUGGGCGUAAAGCGAGCGCAGGCGGUUUGAUAAGUCUGAAGUUAAAGGCUGUGGCUCAACCAUAGUUUGCUUUGGAAACUGUUUAACUUGAGUGCAAGAGGGGAGAGUGGAAUUCCAUGUGUAGCGGUGAAAUGCGUAGAUAUAUGGAGGAACACCGGUGGCGAAAGCGGCUCUCUGGCUUGUAACUGGCGCUGAGGCUCGAAAGCGUGGGGAGCAAACAGGAUUAGAUACCCUGGUAGUCCACGCCGUAAACGAUGAGUGCUAGGUGUUAGCCCUUUCCGGGGUUUAGUGCCGCAGCUAACGCAUUAAGCACUCCGCCUGGGGAGUACGACCGCAAGGUUG
rnacentral:rRNA from 1 species